UACAGAGGGUGCGAGCGUUUAAUCGGAAUUACUGGGCGUAAAGCGUGCGUAGACGGUUAUUUAAGUCGGGUGUGAAAGCCCCCGGGCUCAACCUGGGAAUUGCAUUCGAGACUGAAUAGCUAGGGUACGGUAGAGGGAAGCGGAAUUUCCGGUGUAGCGGUGAAAUGCGUAGAUAUCGGAAGGAACAUCAGUGGCGAAAGCGGCUUCCUGGACCAAUACUGACGCUCAUGUGCGAAAGCGUGGGGAGCGAAGAGG
rnacentral:rRNA from 1 species